GAGGAUUGCAUAUAUAUACUUCCUGAUGCAAAUGUAUUUCAAUGUCACAUCUAUUUUUUGAAAUUUUUGCUUAAAUUUGGUAAAACUUUCCACUUCUUAGUACUAGAAAAUGUUAUAGAAGCUAUCCGAAAACAAAGUAGAAAUGCUUGUUUCCAGAAAAAGAAGUGGGCAAAACUAGCAUUGACUUUCAUAUCCCGACAUAUUAGAAGCGGUGUUGUGUCUAUUGUCCAAAAUCCAAUUGAACAAAAUAACACUGGACAUUUUUUUGUUGUUGAAUGUUGCUUAAAGCUGGU